rnacentral:lncRNA from 1 species
CAAAAUUGUUACCUAAGUCUAACAAUUAAUAGCCCUGGUUAAAAGUCAAAAGAGAAACUUUGUGCUCAAGCUACUUAUAGAGAAACGUUGUUUCUUUGUGCUCAAGCUCCUCUCAAUAGACACAAUCAGAAAAUUCUAGAAAUAUAAAAAAAAAAUGUUGUAGAGAGAAAAAGUUCGGAGAGAACAAGCAUUUGUAAAUUGGCUUUUGUUUGAUUAUCAUCCGUGGAUUCAAAACCCCGAU